GGAGUGGCCGAUGCCUGAUUAGCUAGUUGGUGGGGUAAGGGCCUACCAAGGCGACGAUCAGUAGUUGGUCUGAGAGGACGACCAGCCACACUGGGACUGAGACACGGCCCAGACUCCUACGGGAGGCAGCAGUGGGGAAUUUUGGACAAUGGGCGAAAGCCUGAUCCAGCAAUGCCGCGUGAGUGAAGAAGGCCUUCGGGUUGUAAAGCUCUUUCAGUCGAGAAGAAAAGGUUGUGACUAAUAAUCACAACUUAUGACGGUAUCGACAGAAGAAGCACCGGCUAACUACGUGCCAGCAGCCGCGGUAAUACGUAGGGUGCGAGCGUUAAUCGGAAUUACUGGGCGUAAAGGGUGCGCAGGCGGCUUUGUAAGUCAGAUGUGAAAUCCCCGGG
rnacentral:rRNA from 1 species